UGGGGAAUCUUGGACAAUGGGCGCAAGCCUGAUCCAGCCAUGCCGCGUGAGUGAAGAAGGCCUUCGGGUUGUAAAGCUCUUUUUACCAGGGACGAUAAUGACGGUACCUGGAGAAUAAGCCCCGGCAAACUUCGUGCCAUCAGCCGCGGUAAUACGAAGGGGGCUAGCGUUGUUCGGAAUUACUGGGCGUAAAGCGCACGUAGGCGGAUUGUUAAGUCAGAGGUGAAAUCCCGGAGCUCAACUUCGGAACUGCCUUUGAUACUGGCAAUCUAGAGUCCGGAAGAGGUUAGUGGAAUUCCCAGUGUAGAGGUGAAAUUCGUAGAUAUUGGGAAGAACACCAGUGGCGAAGGCGGCUAACUGGUCCGGUACUGACGCUGAGGUGCGAAAGCGUGGGGAGCAAACAGGAUUAGAUACCCCAGUAGUCCCUGAGCGGGCUGGCAAGGCGCAU
rnacentral:rRNA from 1 species